rnacentral:lncRNA from 1 species
UCGCGCCGUUCUCGGGGGCGGCCGAGGCCGACGAGGGCGGCGGCGACUGGAGCUUCAUCGACUGCGAGAUGGAGGAGGUGGACCUGCAGGACCUGCCGAGCGCCACCAUCGCCUGCCACCUGGACCCGCGCGUGUUCGUGGACGGCCUGUGCCGGGACAACGUCCCUGCAUUCUCAAUCUGCACUCUUGGAAGAAAAGCCAAUGUUUGGCAGGUGCAGUAUGCAACUCCCAUGUGAGGUCCUAAUCAACACCAGAGAGCAAGUAUUUGAGGCUGGCCUGAAUUCAGAUUGAAGAGGCGAAAAUGUGACUUCAUUCAGAGAGCCGAGUCUGGGGUUUUUUUGUUUUCACUCAACACAACAGUAGCUUGUUUUCCUUCCCAC